UACGAAGGUGGCAAGCGUUACUCGGAUUUACUAGGCGUAAAGGGCAGGUAGGUGGUUUGAUAAGUCUGCUGUGUAAGCUCCCGGCUUAACUGGGAGAGGUCAGCGGAUACUGUCAGGCUUGAGUAUGGGAGAGGGUACUGGAAUUCCUGGUGUAGCGGUGAAAUGCGCAGAUAUCAGGAGGAACACCAAUGGCGAAAAGCAGGGUACCUGGACCAUUACUGACACUCAGCUGCGAAAGCUAGGGGAGCAAACAGG
rnacentral:rRNA from 1 species